rnacentral:lncRNA from 1 species
CCAGCAGUGUGAGGAGGGGGUUUCGAUGGCCUGGGAAGCAUUCCCUGAUUAGUGGGGAUGGAGAUUGCUGGAUGAGUCACACCACACUCUCCGGUGGCACAGGUAUGAGGUAGGUUCCCUCCUCAUGUUUCCUCGCAGGGCCUUCAGCACUGGGUGGAGCCCCAGCUUCCUGCAGAGCUGGGCUGCACAAGAGCACACCUUGGAAUGGAUUUCCUCCCUCCCUGACCCGCUGUCAUCACUCUCUCAUUUGUGCAUGGAGAGACAACAUCACAGAAGUAGCUGUGUAUGCAGGGCUGACAGAACUACUCCACGGCCAUCCUGGUUACUUCCUGGUCCAAGACAUCUGCUGGAAGUCCGCCUAUCAUGUCCGAAAGGAAGAAGACAGGAAGACAGAAGCAAAAAGUGGAGCACCUCUCAGCUAAGUCAGAAAUCUUCCUGA